UACGAAGGGGGCUAGCGUUGUUCGGAAUUACUGGGCGUAAAGGGCGCGCAGGCGGCCGCGCAAGUCAGCUGUGAAAGCCCCGGGCUCAACCUGGGAACUGCAUUUGAUACUGCGUGGCUAGAGUUCGGGAGAGGAGAGUGGAAUUCCCAGUGUAGAGGUGAAAUUCGUAGAUAUUGGGAGGAACACCAGUGGCGAAGGCGGUUGGCUGGAGCGUUGCUGACGCUGAGGCGCGAAAGCGUGGGGAGCGAACCGG
rnacentral:rRNA from 1 species